rnacentral:rRNA from 1 species
UGAGGAAUAUUGGUCAAUGGACGCAAGUCUGAACCAGCCAAGUAGCGUGCAGGAUGACGGCCCUAUGGGUUGUAAACUGCUUUUAUAUGGGGAUAAAGUGGGGAACGUGUUCCCUUUUGCAGGUACCAUAUGAAUAAGGACCGGCUAAUUCCGUGCCAGCAGCCGCGGUAAUACGGAAGGUUCGGGCGUUAUGCGGAUUUAUUGGGUUUAAAGGGAGCGUAGGCCGUUUGGUAAGCGUGUUGUGAAAUGUAGGAGCUCAACUUCUAGAUUGCAGCGGGAACUGUCAGACUUGAGUGCGCACAACGUAGGCGGAAUUCAUGGUGUAGCGGUGAAAUGCUUAGAUAUCAUGAAGAACUCCGAUUGCGAAGGCAGCUUACGGGGGCGCAACUGACGCUGAAGCUCGAAGGUGCGGGUAUCGAACAGG